GACGAACGCUGGCGGCGUGCUUAACACAUGCAAGUCGAACGAUGAAGCCCAGCUUGCUGGGUGGAAGAGUGGCGAACGGGUGAGUAACACGUGAGUAACCUGCCCUGAACUCUGGGAUAAGCACUGGAAACGGUGUCUAAUACUGGAUACUACCUAUCACCGCAUGGUGUGUGGGUGGAAAGAUUUAUCGGUUCUGGAUGGACUCGCGGCCUAUCAGCUAGAUGGUGAGGUAAUGGCUCACCAUGGCGACGACGGGUAGCCGGCCUGAGAGGGUGACCGGCCACACUGGGACUGAGAAACGGCCCAGACUCCUACGGGAGGCAGCAGUGGGGAAUAUUGCACAAUGGGCGCAAGCCUGAUGCAGCAACGCCGCGUGAGGGAUGACGGCCUUCGGGUUGUAAACCGCUUUUAGUAGGGAAGAAGCGAAAGUGACGGUACCUGCAGAAAAAGCACCGGCUAACUACGUG
rnacentral:rRNA from 1 species